rnacentral:rRNA from 1 species
GAGUGAACGCUGGCGGUAGGCCUAACCCAUGCAAGUCGAACGGCAGCACAGUAAGAGCUUGCUCUUACGGGUGGCGAGUGGCGGACGGGUGAGGAAUACAUCGGAAUCUACUUUUUCGUGGGGGAUAACGUAGGGAAACUUACGCUAAUACCGCAUACGACCUACGGGUGAAAGCAGGGGAUCUUCGGACCUUGCGCGAUUGAAUGAGCCGAUGUCGGAUUAGCUAGUUGGCGGGGUAAAGGCCCACCAAGGCGACGAUCCGUAGCUGGUCUGAGAGGAUGAUCAGCCACACUGGAACUGAGACACGGUCCAGACUCCUACGGGAGGCAGCAGUGGGGAAUAUUGGACAAUGGGCGCAAGCCUGAUCCAGCCAUACCGCGUGGGUGAAGAAGGCCUUCGGGUUGUAAAGCCCUUUUGUUGGGAAAGAAAAGCAGCAGGUUAAUACCCCGCUGUUCUGACGGUACCCAAAGAAGAAGCACCGGCUAACU